CUUGUAUCUCAACCUAAGAAUUGCUGUUUCUUGUAGCAGCUGUUUAAACAGAGCUGCAUACAGCAAGUGGAUCUUGUCACUUUUGGGAGGCUAUAGUUUUGCCCCUCAAAGUGAAUUUGGAGCUUCUACAUUC
ensembl:snoRNA